rnacentral:rRNA from 1 species
AGUGAACGCUGGCGGUAGGCCUAACACAUGCAAGUCGAACGGCAGCACAGUAAGAGCUUGCUCUUACGGGUGGCGAGUGGCGGACGGGUGAGGAAUACAUCGGAAUCUAUUUUUUCGUGGGGGAUAACGUAGGGAAACUUACGCUAAUACCGCAUACGACCUACGGGUGAAAGCAGGGGAUCUUCGGACCUUGCGCGAUUGAAUGAGCCGAUGUCGGAUUAGCUAGUUGGCGGGGUAAAGGCCCACCAAGGCGACGAUCCGUAGCUGGUCUGAGAGGAUGAUCAGCCACACUGGAACUGGGACACGGUCCAGACUCCUACGGGAGGCAGCAGUGGGGAAUAUUGGACAAUGGGCGCAAGCCUGAUCCAGCCAUACCGCGUGGGUGAAGAAGGCCUUCGGGUUGUAAAGCCCUUUUGUUGGGAAAGAAAAGCAGCAGGUUAAUACCCCGCUGUUCUGACGGUACCCAAAGAAUAAGCACCGGCUAACUUCGUG